GCCUCAUCAUAGAUAGAGCUCAGUUGGUAGAGCAUGUAACUUCUAAUCUCAGUCGUGGCUUCAAGCCCCAUGUUGGGCA